rnacentral:rRNA from 1 species
CAGUCGUACCUUCGGGUAAUCAGCCUUUCGAGUGCGAUUCUGUGGAGUGUGAGGAGCUAAACACCUUCAUGCCUGCAUAUUCGUGCUCUUGGGUGUACUUGCUCGUGUGGUUGGUUAACAUCAAUUUCGGACGCCAUAAAAUGGCUAGAGGAAUGUAGCUUCGAUCUCGUAUUGAAGUGUUACAGCCUUCGGUAGAUGUGAUGAUCAGGAUUGAGGAUUGCAACGGAUACCCUUCGGGGCUACUUGUCUGAUCUCUGAUUGUUGCUCUGGUGCUGAAAGCUUGCUUAUGGCUAUCAGAAUCGAUGGUCAAUAGGUUAGAA